rnacentral:misc_RNA from 1 species
GGAAGUAAGAGUCGUAACAAGGUCUCCGUUGGUGAACCAGCGGAGGGAUCAUUAUCGAGUUCUAAACUCCCAAACCUUUGUGAACAUACCUUUGUUGCCUCGGCGGUUUAACCACCGCCGGCGGCCAACCAAACUCUGUUUUCUACAGUAUCUUCUGAGUUAUCUUAUAAAUAAGAAUUAAAACUUUUAGCAACGGAUCUCUUGGCUCUG